CACAGGACAGUGCCUGACCCUGUCAGAUCUACAUUACUUGAAAUUUGUCAUGAUGGCUGUUCUUCCCAGGGUCCUUUGAAGAACAGCCUCACGCCUGGGUGCCUCCGCCUGCAUCCUCAGCCGAGGAGACAGACGUGCCGGCUGGAGGUCUUGCGGUGGUGCUAUUCCAUCAGGUCCAACUGUCUCAAAGCCUUGGCUGACAGUGACAAGAUUGUCCUGCCAUGGAGCCCCUGUGUGUUGACUUUGUCUCUUCUACAGCAAUGCAGGAUUCCUACUUGGGCAUGCUAAUCAGGCUGGCAUCAAUUAAAUAUUAUAUGUAUUUAAAGCUGAUAGGACUCUAAGAAUAAUGUAAAGUUCCAUCCACUACUUUCUUUUUCUGAAAUUCUAUUCAACCCUGAGAACACAUAUUAGCUGUCCAGGGUUAGGCAACUGGGAGCCUUAAGAAAUUUUUCUUCAUCCCCAGUACCAAAAAAAAAAAAAAAGAAAGAAAAAAAAGAAAUUUUUCUUCACUUUGUGAAAGCUCAUACUUUUCCACCAUCAUUGAUCAACACUGAAAGAUGGUCCCCCUUACAACCAGAGUUUUACAAUGCAAGGGACAUGAUAAAAGCAGCUCUGGGGCCAGCUGACACAUGUGCUACUGACAGGGCCAUCACUUUCCCGAAACGCUGACUUCCCUGCACCUGAUCUUCAGCAUAAUCAGAGCAAGAGUCGACACACCACAAAAUACAGUCAGACCAAGGAUGCAGAGAGCAGCAUCUUGAGCUGCUGCCCGAGAUCAAGCUCAUUUUAUACCCAGCAGAGCUAUGUGAGGAUGCUUUCCUGAGGGGAUGCUCCCUGAAUUCGGACUCCGGCCUCCAGCAAGGUCCUCCUCUUCCACAGGAGUGGCCCCAAAGGGAACUGCCCUUGGAAAUCAGUCUGCAUGGGCCUGUGUUGUGUGUUGUCUGCCUUCGGGCUUGGAUGUAAACCAGGUCUGUGUUUCUUCGGGGAGAAACACUGAAUGUUCUCCUCAUAAACACUCCACAUGCGAUUACUGAACAGGAACUGGCUGCCCCAUUUCUAGCUGUGCAGCUGUAUCAUUAAGAAUUUGUUUAAGUGUGACCAGCACUGUUGGACAGCAUCUAGAUACAUGCACAUAUGCAUAAUUCAAAAUAUUCAAGAACCCAGGUCUCUGCCUCUGGCCACAUGGGGAGAACUUACCUUUGCUCCAAAGGAGGAGUUUCCCUUCUUCCUGACAUGUGAGGAUCACAAUUUAAGGCUUCUUUUAAUUUCUAAAAGUGAGGAUUAGUCCAGUCACUGUAAUGCCGCCUGACAAGCUUAUCCAGCCCUGAAAGGGUUCCAAAGUGACACAUCCCGAGACUUCUCUCGACUUCCCUUUUCUGUUAGAGAAGGCCAUAUCCAUGUGAAAUGAUUCAGCUGCACUAUGGACCAUCAGUUUCGGGAGAGAUGGCCGAGGAGCUAUGGCAGAGCUGGAAAUGGUAUGGAAAACAUCUUUGAGCAGCCAAAAUUACAAGUUAUAGCCAAAGCACCUGUGAAGUGGGGAUUACAAUCAUGCUUUUGUUCAUUUGUUAUUUGUAUCCAGCAUGUUUUUGUUGAGUCUGUUAUGUGAACAAAUCAUGUGUAAAUGCAGGUUCUGGAGUGCCAAACAUCACAAAAUAGAAUAAAACAAGAGAUGAAGGUACAAUGUCCCCAUGAAGCAGACAUUGAAAGGGAAAACUAUGUAAGGAUAUUCUAAAACUAUAAAAACUACAGAAGAGUAUACUGUACAAAGACACAUCAUAAAGGGGGCAUGGG